ACUUUAAUAGCUUAUAAAGAGCAUAAUAUUGAAGAUAUUAAGGAGAUUUUGAAUCUUAAAGUA
rnacentral:tRNA from 1 species